CCUACGGGAGGCAGCAGUGAGGAAUAUUGGUCAAUGGACGCAAGUCUGAACCAGCCAUGCCGCGUGCAGGAAGACGGCUCUAUGAGUUGUAAACUGCUUUUGUACGAGGGUAAACGCAGAUACGCGUAUCUGUCUGAAAGUAUCGUACGAAUAAGGAUGGGCUAACUCCGUGCCAGCAGCCGAGGUAAUACGGAGGAUUCAAGCGUUAUCCGGAUUUAUUGGGGUUAUAGGGUGCGUAGGCGGUCGGAUAAGUUAGAGGUGACAUCCCUAGGCUCAACUUCGGAAUUGCCUCUGGUACUGUUCGGCUAGAGAGUAGUUGCGGUAGGCGGACUG
rnacentral:rRNA from 1 species